GGGUAGCUUGCUACCUAACCUAGCGGCGGACGGGUGMSUWWUGCUUAGGAAUCUGCCAUUUAGUGGGGGACAACAUUCCGAAAGGAAUGCUAAUACCGCAUACGUCCUACGGGAGAAAGCAGGGGAUCUUCGGACCUUGCGCUAAAUGAUGAGCCUAAGUCGGAUUAGCUAGUUGGUGGGGUAAAGGCCUACCAAGGCGACGAUCUGUAGCGGGUCUGAGAGGAUGAUCCGCCACACUGGGACUGAGACACGGCCCAGACUCCUACGGGAGGCAGCAGUGGGGAAUAUUGGACAAUGGGCGGAAGCCUGAUCCAGCCAUGCCGCGUGUGUGAAGAAGGCCUUAUGGUUGUAAAGCACUUUAAGCGAGGAGGAGGCUACUUAGAUUAAUACUCUAGGAUAGUGGACGUUACUCGCAGAAUAAGCACCGGCUAACUCUGUGCCAGCAGCCGCGGUAAUACAGAGGGUGCGAGCGUUAAUCGGAUUUACUGGGCGUAAAGCGUGCGUAGGCGGCUUUUUAAGUCGGAUGUGAAAUCCCCGAGCUUAACUUGGGAAUUGCAUUCGAUACUGGGAAGCUAGAGUAUGGGAGAGGAUGGUAGAAUUCCAGGUGUAGCGGUGAAAUGCGUAGAGAUCUGGAGGAAUACCGAUGGCGAAGGCAGCCAUCUGGCCUAAUACUGACGCUGAGGUACGAMAGCAUGGGGAGCAAAACAGGAUUAGAUACCCUGGUAKUCCAUGCCGUAAACGAUGUCUACUAGCCGUUGGGGCCUUUGAGGCUUUAGUGGCGCAGCUAACGUGAUAAGUAGACCGCCUGAGGAGUWCGGUCGCAAGACUAAAACUCAAAGGAAUUGACGGAAAUCGA
rnacentral:rRNA from 1 species